rnacentral:sRNA from 1 species
UUUAAAAAAUCUGGAUCAAGCUGAAAAAUUGAAAACGACACACAGCUCAUGUGUGUUCGAGUCUCUCAAAUUUUUCGCAAUCAGAAGUGAAACAUCUUCGG